AGCGAACGCUGGCGGCAGGCUUAACACAUGCAAGUCGAGCGGGCCCUUCGGGGUCAGCGGCGGACGGGUGAGUAACGCGUGGGAACGUGCCUUCUGGUCUGGAAUAACCCUGGGAAACUAGGGCUAAUACCGGAUACGCCCUUUUGGGGAAAGGUUUACUGCCGGAAGAUCGGCCCGCGUCUGAUUAGCUAGUUGGCGGGGUAACGGCCUACCAAGGCGACGAUCAGUAGCUGGUCUGAGAGGAUGAUCAGCCACACUGGGACUGAGACACGGCCCAGACUCCUACGGGAAGUAGCAAUGGGGAAUAUUGGACAAUGGGCGCAAGCCUGAUCCAGCCAUGCCGCGUGAGUGAUGAAGGCCUUAGGGUUGUAAAGCUCUUUUAUCCGGGACGAUAAUGACGGUACCGGAGGAAUAAGCCCCGGCUAACUUCGUG
rnacentral:rRNA from 1 species